rnacentral:rRNA from 1 species
GUCCAGGGGGCCGCCUUCGCCACCGGUAUUCCUCCAGAUCUCUACGCAUUUCACCGCUACACCUGGAAUUCUACCCCCCUCUACAAGACUCUAGCCUGCCAGUUUCGAAUGCAGUUCCCAGGUUGAGCCCGGGGAUUUCACAUCCGACUUGACAGACCGCCUGCGUGCGCUUUACGCCCAGUAAUUCCGAUUAACGCUUGCACCCUCCGUAUUACCGCGGCUGCUGGCACGGAGUUAGCCGGUGCUUCUUCUGCGGGUAACGUCAAUCGAUGAGGUUAUUAACCUCACCGCCUUCCUCCCCGCUGAAAGUGCUUUACAACCCGAAGGCCUUCUUCACACACGCGGCAUGGCUGCAUCAGGCUUGCGCCCAUUGUGCAAUAUUCCCCACUGCUGCCUCCCGUAGGAGUCUGGACCGUGUCUCAGUUCCAGUGUGGCUGGUCAUCCUCUCAGACCAGCUAGGGAUCGUCGCCUAGGUGAGCCGUUACCCCACCUACUAGCUAAUCCCAUCUGGGCACAUCUGAUGGCAUGAGGCCCGAAGGUCCCCCACUUUGGUCUUGCGACGUUAUGCGGUAUUAGCUACCGUUUCCAGUAGUUAUCCCCCUCCAUCAGGCAGUUUCCCAGACAUUACUCACCCGUCCGCCGCUCGUCACCCGAGAGCAAGCUCUCUGUGCUACCGCUCGACUUGCAUGUGUUAGGCCUGCCGCCAGCGUUCAUCU